CUACGGGGCGCUGCAGUAGGGAAUAUUGCGCAAUGGGCGAAAGCCUGACGCAGCAACGCCGCGUGGGUGACGAAGCUCUUUGGAGUGUAAAACCCUGUCAACAGGGAAGAAACGGCCGUGGAGGUAAUACCACGACCCUGACGGUACCUGUGGAGGAAGUUCCGGCUAACUCCGUGCCAGCAGCCGCGGUAACACGGGGGGAACGAGCGUUGUUCGGAUUCACUGGGCGGAAAGGGUGCGUAGGCGGGCCGGUCCGUCGGGUGUGAAAACUCACGGCUCAACCGUGGGCUUGCAUUCGAAACUGCCGGUCUCGAGUACGGGAGAGGGAAGUGGAAUUCCUGGUGUAGCGGUGAUAUGCGUAGAUAUCAGGAGGAACACCGGUGGCGAAGGCGGCUUCCUGGACCGAUACUGACGCUGAGGCACGAAGGCCGGGGGAGCAAACAGGAUUAGAUACCCUGGUAGUC
rnacentral:rRNA from 1 species